UUUUUUAAUGGUAAUCUUGCAGUGUUGGUAAACGACUAUCAUACUUAAGAGACCAUAAUCAAAAUAGGUUUGAAUAAAAGGGAUCCUUUAGCUCCAUUUCUUCUCCUUCUAGUGGAAAAAGGGCUUAGCGGUCUUGUUGCUAGCGCUGGGGAGAUUGUUCUUUACUCUAGAUUCAGGGUUGGUACAUCUGGGUUAGUGGUAUCUCAUCUUCAC
rnacentral:lncRNA from 1 species